UACGUAGGGGGCAAGCGUUGUCCGGAUUUAUUGGGCGUAAAGCGCGUGUAGGCGGCCCGAUAAGUCCGCUGUGAAAGUCCAGGGCUCAACCCUGGAAUGCCGGUGGAUACUGUCGGACUAGAGUGUGGUAGGGGAGACUGGAAUUCCUGGUGUAGCGGUGAAAUGCGCAGAUAUCAGGAGGAACACCGAUGGCGAAGGCACCGU
rnacentral:rRNA from 1 species